rnacentral:rRNA from 1 species
AUGGGUAUCGUUGAUAAAGACGUCAGGCUCAUUCAGAGGUCUCUCACAAGUGUCAUUCAUAAUCUUAAGGACGACAAGGGUGAGAUUAAGCUGGACAGGGAUUUUCUGAAGGAGGAGGUGCAUAAGCUGAAGGAGAAUAGAAAGAAGAUGCAAAGCGUCAUCUAUGAUCUUUUGGGGCAAGGGUUUGCGAACACUGAUGACCUCCUGAUGAUCAAGGCAAUCCUCGAACAAUGA